CAUGUCUUUUUGUUUAUGAUUUAAAGUCUGGCCUGCUCGAUGAAUUUUAAAUUGCCGCAGUAUUUUGACUGUGCAAAGGUAGCAUAAUAAUUAGUUUCUUGAUUAGGAGCUUGAAUGAAUGGUUGAACAAGAAAAUUUCUGUCUCUAUCUUAUUUUUAUUGAAUUUUAUUUUUAAGUUAAAAAGCUUAAAUUUUUUUAAAAGACGAGAAGACCCUAUAGAGUUUUAUAAUACAGUUUGAUUAUUUUUUAGGAUUUUUAUUUAAUUGUAUUAUUUGGUUGGGGUGACUCAGGGAUUACUUUAAUUUUCUGAUUAUUGAAUUGUUGAUUUUUAAAUUUAAAUUCUGUAUUUUCAAGUUUAAAUUAAAUUACCUUAGGGAUAACAGCGUAAUUUUUCUUUAAAGUUCUUAUUGAAAGAAGAGUUUGCGACCUCGAUGUUGGAUUAAAAUAAAUUUUUGGUGCAGUAACUUAAGGAUUAGGUCUGUUCGACCUUUAAAAUUUUACAUGAUCUGAGUUUAGACCGGCGUGAGCCAGGUUAGAUUCUAUCUUUAGAUUUUUACAGUAUUUUAGUACGAAAGGACCAUAUAUUGAUUAAAUUGAUUG
rnacentral:rRNA from 1 species